GACGAACGAUGGCGGCGUGCCUAAUACAUGCAAGUAGAACGCUGAAGGAGGAGCUUGCUUCUCUGGAUGAGUUGCGAACGGGUGAGUAACGCGUAGGUAACCUGCCUGGUAGCGGGGGAUAACUAUUGGAAACGAUAGCUAAUACCGCAUAACAGUAGAUAUCGCAUGAUAGCUGCUUGAAAGGUGCAAUUGCACCACUACCAGAUGGACCUGCGUUGUAUUAGCUAGUUGGUGAGGUAACGGCUCACCAAGGCGACGAUACAUAGCCGACCUGAGAGGGUGAUCGGCCACACUGGGACUGAGACACGGCCCAGACUCCUACGGGAGGCAGCAGUAGGGAAUCUUCGGCAAUGGACGGAAGUCUGACCGAGCAACGCCGCGUGAGUGAAGAAGGUUUUCGGAUCGUAAAGCUCUGUUGUAAGAGAAGAACGAGUGUGAGAGUGGAAAGUUCACACUGUGACGGUAUCUUACCAGAAAGGGACGGCUAACUACGUGC
rnacentral:rRNA from 1 species